rnacentral:lncRNA from 1 species
AGGACGUGUAUACAACUGUCAAAUAUCGGGGGAAAAAACAAAUCAGUACUUAAACUUAACGAUUAUUCAUUGGUAAUAAUUUAGUGGAGUUUUAGUAGAGUUAUUACAAAAGGAAUUAACUGAUUACAUUAGUAACGUUAUAAUCGAGAUUGAGAAGUCUGCAUUCUUUGGUUGGAAAACAGAGGAAAGAGUUCUUUGUAUAAUAGAGAUUUGUUAGAUUAAGAUUGUCUGACCAAAUCAACCAGGUGUGUAAUCGAUCACGAAGAGACAAGUCCUAAGACAUCUUUCAAUUGACUGGUAUUGUUAUCAUUGUAAUAAUUUUAAACUUCAGCGGACAUAGAUUUAUUGUGAAACAACUGUACCGGACAACAUAAUAUUUGCCAAUUAUGGCAAAGUAUUCUAGAAAACGACUGAUUCAAAAGCUUUAAUUGUUUGUCCACAUUGUUUUUUGUAUACUGAAACUGACAAGUUUGAACAUAGGGCAUCACUAAGGAAUAAGUCCCGAAAUGAAAAUAAAAUAAGGGAGUGUCUCGUCGACAAAAAGAGUUACACAGAUGUAUCUCUAGGAAAAUAGAACUCCCUCGAAAGAAAAAAUAACUCUUUAGAAGGUUUGUAAUACAGCACUGAAUAUACAAAUUACAGUGAGAACAUUUCUUACUAUUAAGACAAUUUGUACACUGUUAUUGUUGUAACUUUCAAUGAAAAACAGUCAGCAGUAUCAUGAAAAGAAAAUAUUUUGUUUUAAAAACUUUUAUUAAAGACAUUUUGCUAGAGUGAAAUAUCACCAACCGAGAAUUACCGAGUAUUAAAAAAUAUGACGACAACGAAUUUGAAACAAGCUGAAAUCUUUCUAUGCUGAAGAAAAUUUCAAAAAUGGAUAAUACUUUAACGAAUUUGAUACAUAUUUGGAAAUGAAGGAACAAUUACAAUGACGGAUCCGGUUCUGAAGUUUAUGAAAAAGAAUAGUAUCAUUUUUCAUACAAAAAAGUAUGACAGUAAAGUUAAUGUAAAACGUAAAAAUAAAAAUUCAAAAUUAAGAUGUACAAAAACAUUCAGAGGUAAACAUAAAAGUUCAAGCAACCAGUAUACGCGAUCGCCUAAAACUAACAGCGUGUGUUUAAAGGCAUAUAAAGUAUAUAUGACUGUGUACUUCACUGAACAAGACUUAAAACAUGCUUUGGAAGUUGCCACGGAGAACUUGCAAAGACAAUCGGAAGGGGCUUCUGGUCAAUUACAUAAUGAUGACGAUCGAACAGACUUGAAGAUCAAAUUGCUUUAUGAAAAUCCGCUGUACCCGAAAUAGAUAAUAGGUUAGUUAUGUUCAGAGUGUAUAACUUCUACACAAUUUCUUUCACAACAAGUUAUAUUUUUCCAGUGUCUUUGCAAUUGAUAUAAGUACACAUGCCAAAUUGUUUCACCCUCUUAAAACGAUAUAUUGACAAUACAAUAAUACAACUUCAACAGAAUCAAAUGUUUUAGUGAUAAGAAAUAAUCACUUUGUAACAGUUUUGUCUUCACUUUUUAUUGUUACGUUUUUAUCAUUAAUAUUCUAAUGUAGGCAAGAUUCAUUUACUUGUGGAUAAAAGACCCAUAGAGCUGAAGUGAAAACAAAAACGCUUGUGUGCUUUAGGACAAAGUAUAUUCAAAUGCUGGACUAAAAAAAUACAGGGGACGCUAGAGACAAACCGAAAAGAUAAUUGCAUGUAUACCUUGCAUGACAGUCAAUGCAUAUGCAAGCUUCAAAUACAUAUGCAUGUCAGGUGAGAUAAAGAACAGAAGACCGAACCAAAAGAAUAAUAACAUGUACCUAUGUCUAGACUGAGCCUUCAAAUGACAUGUAUUAGCCAAGGAAUAUGACAAUAAGCGGCCACACUGAUCAAAUAAUAAUGUGGUCAUCGAAAAUAUUGUAAGAGAGUUCAAAAGUUGUAUUAAAAGUAUGAAGUUUUUAUGCUUUAAAUGAAAGUAAAGUCAGUGUUCGAACUUAUUAGAUAGUUAUAUGUGUUUUUGAAGUGAAACGAAUUCCAUGUGUCUAAACGAAAAUGAUAAAACUGCAUGUUCAAAGACAGUGUAGAGGGAGAAUUGUAAAGGUAAUGUAUUUUUCACCCCAUAUCAAUGAAAAUUCAGGGAAUAAAAGUAAAGUAAAGUGGAUUAUUCAGAGGUUGCACUAAAAGCUAAAGGAAAUUGCACAUCAAGAGAAAAAAUGAUAAAUCAACCCGAAAAGGGUUCUAAUGAAAAGAAAUUUAGACCUUGAACUGAAAAGAUACAUUCACAGACAUUUGCAGUGAACUGAAGGGAGACUCAGAGGUAAAGCGAAUGUUAAUUCAGGGACUGCUCUAGAUACAGGUUAAAGUACAAAAAUGAUACAGAAAUUUAUGCGCAUCAGUUUAAAGAAGUGACAAAUGCAUACCCAGUUCAAUUGAACGAAACUUAAGUGAUAGAGGCAUUUGGGCAUCAAGACGGUAAAGAAACUUUAGUAGCGAAAGUGAGAUAAAGCAAUUGACACAUCAAGAGAAAAAGUCGUCGAAGAUGGUAGAUAAAAUAAUGCCCGUUGCAAGUAACAGGAAGGCCAAAGGAACCACAUUGCAUAAAAGGGACACGAAUGCCUCUGGAGAACAUUUUGACGUAUAUGUUAGUGUACUAAUUUAUUUAUAGAAUUCACAUGUACAACCGCAGCAGAAUGUUGACCAUGUAAUGUUUUUUUUUCAAAACUGCAAUGCUUACCUGGAAACAAUAGUAAUUUUAUUUUUAACUGGAAACAAUAGUAAUUUUAUUUUAGAACAAACAAACAAAGUAAUUCGUUAGUUUGAGGCAUUCGUGUUACUUGAUAUUGUUUAUAUUCAACUUUGAUGUAUCAGUCAAUUUAUACAAUAACCACAGUUGUUUAUAAUGUAUUGCAAAACUGUAUUUUGAACAGAAGAUGUUACGUUUCCAUAGUUUAUAACUUCUCUCAAUCAAACGUCAACCCAUAUUACACUUGCAAGAAGAUGCUUCCAGUUUCAUGCAGUAUUAUGAACAGGACAUCAUCUAAUACGGCAGUCAGCAAUGUCUAUCUAAUUAGUUAAAUAAAUUAAAAAUUACUUCAAAUUUAGACCAACUCAUUGCGUCGUUACUGGAGAUGAAUAUGUUUAAGUUUUGAACAAUAAGCUGAACUUCGUGUAUAUGUAAGUCAUCCAGAAGCAUUGCUUUCUGGUUAAGUGACAGAACAUAUAUUGCUCUUUUCCUUAAUACUUUUAUAAAUCUAAGGGGUGAAAAUAAUUCAGACAAAUAAUACUAUGUAUGAAUCCCAGCCUAAAAGAAACAUUACCUGCAAUAUUUUCUGUUUAAAACACAUUUUUGAGAUAACUAAUUAAAACCAGUUUGGUUUACUGUAUAACAUUGACUUGCGUUACUUUGUUUUAUGUAGCAGUAUCCAUUAAAGUUUACAAAUAAUACUAGUGUCAGGUUGGCAGACACCAAAUAUAAAAUGAUGCAGGAUUUGUAAAUAAAACAUGAUAUAUUUGGACAAGAAUAUAUUCUCGUUAAUAAAUAUUUGAUAUUAAGGGUAGUAUUUUAUCUAUUUGAAAUAAUCGUGUUUCAUUUUAUACUUAAUCUUUUUACCCAUGUCCUGAAAUAUAACGUUGUAAAUAACGGUACCUCCAAAUAAUAACAAAAUCUUUUUAUUUCAUUUCAAUAUGUCAUCUCCAUAAUGUAUGGUGCAUCUUUGUUUCAUAUAAACUUUCGAAUAACGCCUGUUUAUUUCUUGAAAAGAUUUGUAUUUUCAUUUUACAUGUAUGAGUGUUUUAGAUCUUUGUCUGUGUACAAAAUUUGAUUUAAUAUAUGAAUGUACUUUACAUUAUUUAAACAAAUGUUACAAAUUAUCAUUUAAAACGUGCUUAACUUUAUACAUAAAGCACAGAUAUUAUAUUAAUUGGAUAUUUUAAAUAUUUCCAUUGAAACACUGCAAUACUGACGUAACGUGGAGUAUUAUUUCGCUCUUUACAUGCGCUGAGAAAGGGUGCUACUACAUUUUAAUCUAUCCACUAUAUUGUAAUCAAAAUGAUAGAACAGAACAGUGAUAUAUUUACUUCGCACAGAACGGUGAUAUAAAACUGCAUCGAUUAUAAGGUGAUAAGAAUAAAUCAUUACACGUCUGGGCGUCCAUACGUUAUUCCGCAGGAUAUGUCACUUCCAGUAUUUUAUAACUGUAUUAUACGUUAUAAUGGCUGUAGAAAUGAUUUGAACUUGAUCACUAAACAAUUUUAAAGAUGAUAUUUUUGCAACUCAUUGACUUAUUGGCAGAUCGGCACGUGGAAUAAUAAUAAUAAUAAUAAUAAAAAAAACAGGUCACCGUCUUAUUUUCGAAGUUUUCUCAUUAUUACUGUUUUGAACAUUUUUGCAAAAAAGGAUCACGUUAUAUGCAUACCUCAUAUAUAAACUUGUACACUUAUGCCCUUGAAAGCAGCGAUUAAAUUGUGUACCUAUUAACAUUAACCUAUUUUAAGAAAUGUUCCAAUGAUGCAUUUAAGUCUUUCAAGUGGACUGUUCAAAUGCAACUAACACAACAGUUGAACUGAUAUCUCAAACUGAGUGGAAAACUAUUUCAUGAGCAAUAUCUAUAACCACUUAAAUUUAGUUUAUGGUUGUUUCCGUGAUGAUAAAAGAUAAGUUAGGCAUGUUUAAAAUUUACGUCCCACGACCCAUUAUUAGUCUAAAUAGACAUUCUACGACUAUACUACCGAGGGGGUUAUAUAGGUAAAAGAUCCCAGAUACAAUCGGUAUCUACAUGAAUAAAAAAAGCAGAUGAUAUAUAAAAAUACAGCCGUCAUUACAAUAUGAUGAAGAACACGGCUUCGUCUGGAAUUUGAACCUUGCAGUCUUGCUAUUUCCUUUCUGAGGUACCUGCGAGUAACAGUCGCUGACUUCCACUUUCGGCUCAAAUAGGCGUUCAAAGCUCGUCAGGCGCAAAACAUUUUUGAAGUGUCACAGAUACGAUCCAUUUUUAAACUAAAAGAACAUUCAAAUAUACAUCAGUACGUAGUUCAAUAUAUUAUGAUUGUAUGAUGAUUCGAAUUUGGGCGUGUAAAGUAUGAUGUUUUGUUAUGAGAUAAGAGCCUAAAGGCGUCGGAGAGUUAGAGUAUGAGUUGGAAAGAGAUAAUUCAAGAAAAAAUGUAACUAAAAUGGUCCGAAGAAAGUAACGGUAUCCUUCACUUAGAUCUCCAAAGUGUUGGAAUGUCGCAAUUUAUAGCGGCAGCCGAUCCCAUUUUCUGAUAUAGCUGGUUAUUUUUUUAUUCUUUUUAAUGCUAUGUGCUUUUCAAUUUCUUUCAUUGUUUUGAGAUAAUUAAUAAACGAUUCAAUCCUUGGAUUUUGAUUUCCUAAUUUGCAUUGAUAUAUAAAGUAUUUUGCUAUGAUUAUGAUGUAAUUUGUUAUCUGUUGAGUUGGAGAUUUUGUUUGAGAACCAAAUGAAACUUUUAUUUUGAAGUUUAAUGUAUAUUCUAUACCUUUGUAAUUUAAGAAUUGUUUGAUACAUGACCAAAAGUCUUUUACGAUUUGGCAUUUCCAAAAGAGAUGGUUCAAAAAUUCUAUGUCCAUGUUAUAAAAAAUCGCAUAAGCUAGAUUCGAUUAUUUUGCAUUUAUGCAGAAACUGAUUAAUUGCUAUAAUCCUUUUAAGAUAUUUAUAUUUUGAGUCUAUAUAAAUAGAAAAAAGUCGCACUAUAUACCAUUCUCCAAUUUAAAAUUUCAUAGACACUAUUCCAUUUAAUUUCAGAUUUGUUUAUUGUCAUUGUGUUUUGUUGUCUCUGAUAUUGUUUAUAUAGUAAUUUAAUAUUUGUUUUUUUUUAACUUUCUGAAUAGUUGCAAAUAAUGUCUCUGCCUCAUCACAUUGAUUAUCAUUUUUUAGCUUUUCCUUUCAUUCUCUUGGAGUAUUAAAGACAAUCUUAUGAUAAUUAAGGAAUUCUGAAUUGUUUAGAUUAAACCUAUUUUGAACUGUUACAAAUGGCAAAAAUUGAUUUUUUCUAAAGUCGUAUAUAUUUUUAAUGUAUUUAACUCCAGCUGUAAACCAUUCAUUAUAGUACAUGGUUUUAUUUUCAUUUUUGAUAAAUGAGUUGUUCCAUAUGAUUUCAUUUGACACACUUCCUACAUCUGAGUUGAAGUUUAUACGUGCCCAACUUAUAAUACGUCUUUUAGGAAUGUGUUUUUUAUUUUUUCCUUUUAUAUCGUUUUCAAAGAUGUUUGCUUCAAAUAACAAGUUACCGCCAAAUUUUUGUAUUUCUUUAUUGUAUAUAUCUUUCCAGAAGCCUGUAUUUUCAAUAUUUGUUAUGCGCUUUACCCAGCUUGCUUUUGCUGAGCUAAUAUAUGCUUUUAUAUAUAUCAUCUUAAGUCCGCCUUCUGCAUAUUCUUUUUUAUUAUAUUUCGUGCAAUUUUUUUCUGGUUUAUUAUCCCACAGAAAAGAGUACAUAAGUUUUGCUAUAUUUGUCAGUAUAUGUUCUGGAGGAUUUUCAAGGACCGUUAAAGGGUAUAUAAUUUUAAGUAGAGCGAAGGUCUUUAUAACAGUAUUUUUUCCAAGUAAAGUUAGUUUGUGUUUUUGCCAUCUGUUUAAGCAAAGAUAUAACUGUUCUAAUUUAUUAUUCAAAUUCAACUCCACUGUGUUCUUUUGAUUUGUAAAUACAAUUCCUAGCGUUGUGGCUUUGUCAGAUGUCCAAUUAAAUGAUUUCAUCUAGCAAAAUAUUUUGUCUGUGUGUUUUAGGGAUCCGAUUCGUAAAAUAGUUGACUUUUUGUGUUUAGUUUUAAUCUGGAAAACUGACUAAAUUCUUCGAUUUUGCUUAGCAAACAGUUAAAAUAUUUUUUCUGACCCAUCUAAGAUGAAUGUUGCAUCGUCAGCAAAAAGUGAUCCUUUAAUCUCAUGGUUUGUUAGGGUUACACCUUUUAUAAGGGGCUCGUGUUUUACUUUUAGAGACAGAAUUUCUAUCGAUAUGAUAAAGAGAGAGGGAGAGGGAGCAGCCUUGUGUUACGCCACGACUUAUACGGAAAUACUCAGACAGAUGUCCAUUAUUUGAAACACAGCCUUGCAUAUCGUUAUAAAAAGUAGUCACCCACUGUCUUAAAGAAGUUCGGAAAUUAAAGUAUUUAAGUGUUUAAAUUUCAUAAGAAAUUCGUGAUCUAGACUGUCAAAUGCUUUUUCAAAAUCGGCGAAGAAAAGUAGGCCAGGCUUAUUAUUUCCAUUUAAAAAAUCAAUUAUAUCAUAAACUAAUCUUAUAUUUUAUAUAUCUCCCUUUAAUGAAACCAGUUUGCGAUUCAUCUAUUAUAUCAGACAGUAUAUUUUUUAUUCUAUUUGCUAUUGCUUAAGUUGAAAAUUUAUAGUCAGUGUUUAAAAGAGAAAUAGGUCUCCAGUUGUUAAGAUAUGACUGAUCUUUAUCUUUCUUUGGUAUCAGAUUUAUAAUUCCUUGUUUUUGUAGUUAUGUCAAGCGACUUAAAUUAUAUGGCCAAACUAUUUUGUAGAAUUCUGUAGUCAGCCCAUCAGAUCCUGGGCUCUUGUUGUUUUGCAUGUUUAAGAGUGCAUUUGCACAUUCGCUUUCGGUUAAGAAACCUUCACACGACUGUUUUUGUACCUCGUUAAGUUUUUUUGUUAUUUUCUGGAAAGUUGCAGAGUUCAGUAUUUGACAGCGUGUCUUUUUAUACAGUUUUUCAUAAAAAAGUUUCGUUUCUUGUAAUAUUUCUUUUUCGUUUGUUAUAUCAUUUCCGUGUACGUUUAAUCUUGUUGUUAAUUUGUUUUCACUUUUAUCUUUUUCUAAGUUAGAAAAAUAUUUGGUAUUUUUGUCCAUGUCGUCUGUAUACUGUGCUUUUGACCUAAUGAAACAACCUUGUGCUUUAUAUUGAGUAAUCUAUCUAGUUCCUCUUUUUUACUUUUAAUUUGAUCAUUUAGCUGUUCAUUUGAUUCAUUAUUCUCAAAUUGUUCGUGUAAGGUAUCAAUACAUUUUAUAAGCUGUUUUUCCCUUAAUGAAUAAUUUUUCUUUUUAAAAGAGCAAUACUUUAUUGUUACAUUUCUGAUAGAACAUUUUAUUAACUCCCAACGUGUAUUGGCAUUAGCUUCAUGAUUUAUUUCCACAGUUGCAUUUAUUAUUUUCUUUAUAUCCAUUUGAUAUUUUUCGUCAAAUAAGAUUGAGUUGUUCAGUUUAUAAUAACCUGGGCCACGAGCCUGAGAGGUCAAGUCAAUAUCAACAGUGACUAAUGAAUGAUCUGACCUGAUACCGGUCGUUAUCUUCGUAUUUUUAACUCUGUUAGAAAUAUUUGAUGAAAUAAGAAAAUAAUCUAACCGACAAAAAUAGGAGGUUUGUGAUUAGAGUGCCAUGUAAUUUUCUUUUGUUUGUAGAUUUAAAACAUGCCAUAUAUCUACUAAUUCAAAGUUUUCAACAAUGUUUUUUUUAUUUUAUUUCUACAGCGCAUAUUUGUGUCUUUUUUGCCAUUUUUCUUAUCCAUAUCAGUAUCCAGAAUAACAUUAAAAUCUCCCCUAAUUAUAAGUGUCUUGUCACCAUUAUCCGCUAUGAGUCAUUCGAGAGUAUUAAAAAAUUCUGUAUUUUCCAUAUUUGGUCCAUUAAUUAUAACUAGUACCGUUUCGUUUAUUGUUACCGUUAAACAUUGCACGCGGCCCUCCACAAUCUCUUCAUAUUUUAUUAUUUCGUAUGAAUCACUUAAUAAUAUACCGACUCCUUUGCUGUUGGUACUGUUUCCGCUAAGAAAAACAUUUGAACCCCAUAUACUUUUCCAUUUUUUUAACUUUCCGAUUUCUUACAAUUCCUGAAGAAAACCAAUAUUAAACUCACUAACUUUUAACCAGUUUAAGACAUCAAUUCUCUUUUUGAUGUCCCCUAGUCCCUUAGUAUUCAAAGAACAUAUUUUAGUAGUUAUAUUCAGUUAAAAUACCAUACUUACAAGAAUUUAUAGAAGAAUUUCCGAUAGAGAAAAACGUUUGGAGAAUGUCAAUGUUUAUCUUUUAAAAAGUUUUAAGACUUCAGAAUAUGUAAACAUGAUAAUAGGUGGAUAUGUGUACUACAACUAACGAUGGAUAUAAUCUUCAAAUUUGCUGCUUUGCGACAUACAAAUUGCAUUUAUGUAAUUUUCCUGUAUUUCAAAACAUAGAAAAAUGAAAUAGCUUGGACAAUAUUAGUGUGUAUGUAUAAUCUACAACGAACAAUAAACAUAAUUUUAUACAUAUUGCAUUAAAGUAACU